GUUAAAACACCGUUUCCCAUACGAUCACCGAAGUUGAGCAACCUCGAGACUGGUCAGUAAUACGAUGGGUGACCGCUUAGUAGUAGCGGGUUCUGUAA